rnacentral:rRNA from 1 species
UACAGAGGUCUCAAGCGUUGUUCGGAUUCAUUGGGCGUAAAGGGCGCGUAGGCGGCGGGGUCAGUCGGGUGUGAAAUCUUGGGGCUUAACCCCGAAACGGCACUCGAAACUGCCCGGCUGGAGGGCCGGAGAGGAGAUCGGAAUUCACGGUGUAGCAGUGAAAUGCGUAGAGAUCGUGAGGAAGACCCGUGGCGAAGGCGGAUCUCUGGACGGCUAAAACUGACGCUGAGGCGCGAAGGCCAGGGGAGCAAACGGG